rnacentral:rRNA from 1 species
UACGUAGGGUGCGAGCGUUAAUCGGAAUUACUGGGCGUAAAGCGUGCGCAGGCGGUUUUGUAAGCCAGAUGUGAAAUCCCCGGGCUUAACCUGGGAAUGGCAUUUGGGACUGCAAGGCUUGAGUGCGGCAGAGGAGACUGGAAUUCCGCGUGUAGCAGUGAAAUGCGUAGAUAUGCGGAGGAACACCGAUGGCGAAGGCAAUCCCCUGGGCCUGCACUGACGCUCAUGCACGAAAGCGUGGGGAGCAAACAGG